rnacentral:rRNA from 1 species
CGAGAAAGUACUCUUCGGAGUGCGAGUACAGUGGCGCACGGGUGAGUAACACGUGGGUAACCUACCUUCUGGCGCGGGACAACACCUCGAAAGAGAUGCUAAUACCGCAUACGUCGACGUCGGCUUCGGCUGCUGUCGGGAAAGGGCGCGCAAGUGUCGCCGGAAGAUGGGCCCGCGUUCCAUCAGCUUGAUGGUGGGGUAAUGGCCUACCAUGGCUUAGACGGAUAGCUGGUCUGAGAGGAUGAUCAGCCACACUGGGACUGAGACACGGCCCAGACUCCUACGGGAGGCAGCAGUGGGGAAUAUUGGACAAUGGGCGCAAGCCUGAUCCAGCCACGCCGCGUGUGUGAUGAAGGCCCUCGGGUCGUAAAGCACUGUGGAGGGGGAAGAACCGACUUGGGUAACGCCAAGUCCUGACGGUACCCCUUUAGCAAGCACCGGCUAACCCCGUGCCAGCAGCCGCGGUAAUACGGAGGGUGCGAACGUUGCUCGGAAUCAUUGGGCGUAAAGCGCGUGUAGGCGGCUAGUUAAGUCGGAUGUGAAAGCCCUGGGCUUAACCCAGGAGGUGCACCCGAUACUGGCUAGCUAGAGUACGGGAGAGGGUGGCGGAAUUCCCGGUGUAGAGGUGAAAUUCGUAGAUAUCGGGAGGAACACCAGUGGCGAAGGCGGUCACCUGGACCGAUACUGACGCUGAGACGCGAAAGCGUGGGUAGCAAACAGGAUUAGAUACCCUGGUAGUCCACGCCGUAAACGAUGAGUGCUAGAUGUCACGGGUAUUGACCCCUGUGGUGUCGGAGCUAACGCGUUAAGCACUCCGCCUGGGGAGUACGGCCGCAAGGCUAAAACUCAAGGAAUUGACGGGGGCCCGCACAAGCGGCGGAGCAUGUGGUUUAAUUCGACGCAACGCGAAGAUCCUUACCUGGGUUGGAGCCCUCCCGAAUGUCCCAGAGACGGGACGGUGCCCUUCGGGACGGGAUGUUCAGUGCUGCAUGCUGUCGUCAGCUCGUG